CUCGGUUUGCCUGACAUCAGCGAAUCGGUCAUGUUCAAAGGGGGCAUUCCCUGGUGUAAACCCCGCCCCCCCAGCGACCAUAAAAGGUAACGGUGGAAUGCAUUGCUUGGCAGUCCAUCUUCUUCAUAAGUGAGACACACACAGAGAGCCCAGGGUGUCCCUCACUGAUGAGCUUGAGCUUUCUGUGAGACUACUGAAGCAUUCGAAGGACGACGCUGGACCAACCUGCCCUUAGACUUUAAAACGCAGCUUCAUAGUCAGCCGUUUAAGGUGAACCUGCCGGUGGGGGUGACAAGCCUCAAGGAUCCUCGUCAGGCCCACAGGCUGCCAGCCGCCGCCUCAGGAUACGGACGCUGCCGUGUGUCUUCUGAUAAAGGACAAGGACAUCAGGAGCUGAGCAGGAGACACACCAGGUGUUGUCUUGAGAUGAUGGAGAUCAAAGAUGGAGAUCACAAGCCUGCACUUUGGAUGUCAGAGAGGAGCAUGAAGAAAGGUGAGCGUCACGUCUUUCCCGAGUCACAGUGGCGCAGUGGAAGGCGGAAUACACAAAAGCACCUGAAGCGAGGCGAGUCACACCAUGAAGCGGAAAGAACGUGAUGACAAACUGCUGCUGGAACCUCACCAACUAAUCUGAGAAGGAACAUUUCUGAGGGUUUUCAGUAGUAUCAGUACACUACAAUGGACAGACACACACACGCGCACGCAGACACACACACCCAGCAGGCGAAUAAUGAAGAAGGUAUGUGUGAGGUCGACUGAAGGCUA
ensembl:lncRNA